ensembl:lncRNA
AGUAGCACGGGGUGGGCUGGGGGUGUCUUGCAGCUGUUCCUGGCUCCAUUCUGCAGCACAGAAAUGAGGAUUCAAGAAGGCAGAAUACGUGUAGGCUUUUAUUUAGGAACUCACGAUGCCCAAUACAGCUUGCACUGCAGGACUGGGGCAGCUGAAUCAGCUCGAUUUUCCCUAUGACACUGCCAUGAGCAAGGACAGUGACACAUAAAAGUGCAGAUGUGUGCAUUUCUCACUUCCAGAUACACCAUCGUUUAGAGGAAAAGCUAUCAUAAAGCGAUAGUGGUGGCAUCUGAGCCAGUUGUGAAGAAAUCUGUGGUCACUUGGAACAUGUUGGUGCCUGAAUAUAGAUUGUGGGUCAUCCUUUGCCUGCAGAUAUAAGGGAGGUGAUGAGCUUUGAGAAUCUUUUGAUACUGUAACAGAUUUCCAGCAAGAGAGAUUUAUCCAUACGUGCAUAUCCACAGAAUCCAUACUGAGUUGGUGAAAUUGGAAAGACAGCAGCUCUGUAGCUCUACUAGAAAAAUAAUCUUACUGACUGAGGAAUGUAGUGCACAAUCAGCUUUAUUCCAGUCUAGGGUGGAACAACAUUACUAUCUCUGUGGUGACUGCCAAGGAACACCAGUAAGUACUUAGACAAAGUACUGGGCUUUUGAAGUGCAAUUAAAACAGAUAAAUAACAGCCUCUCAGAAGAAAGAGGAGGAGGAUGUGGGAAGACAGCUGGAAAAUAUCUGAACUACAAAUAUUUUAAAUAUGUUGCAGCUGCACAAGAGACAAAUACUCAUUACCUUUAAUUUCCUGAGCGAAUUAUGCAUCAUUGAGGAUCCGUGACUCUCCAGGCACCCAGCUCUUCUGGUGGUUCCUGGUCUCACCCUUAUUAAGUGUUUGCAGAUCCUGCAAGUAUGUUAGUGCCAACAGCAGUCUCAUUAACACAGGGCUGAAGCACUUCGACGGUAGUGGGAAGGUUCCUUACAGCUGCGUGUGGAAAUACAAGCUCAAGGAACACUAUGACAUCUUGGCUUCAUAGCUUCAUUUAGAGCCUGAACUGUCACAGCUGAGCCAUGUCUUACCAUGUCUGUGAUCCAGGUGUAUUACUUAUCUGACUAUAGGAAAUAAAUGCCCACAUAAUAUUUUUUUUCAGUUUAUUGGAGGCAAGACCUGUGAAGGAUGACCAUUAGCAUACAGGUGUUUAUCAGAUCACUUGCUCUCCUGUACCAACUUUGAGAUUUGUGGCAUUUAAAUAUCUUUGGAUACAAUUCUUCUUGUUUUCUAAGUGAAGCCUUGCCCAAAAUGACAUUUCCUAUAUUGAUGUAAACAACAAAAUCAUAAACACUGCUUUUAUUACCUUCCUGUGCUUAUUUGUUUUCCAAUUGUUCAGCUGCCUUUUUCAGCAUAUCAUUAGUCACACAAGGAACUGCCUUCAUUGUUAAAAUAGAAAUUAUAGUUGUAAUUAACACUAGCAGCCAUUAGAUGGUAAUGUUUGCUCACCGUUGCACUGAGCAUUAUGCUUGCCAAAUCUCACUCAGUGAGGCAGUUGAGCCAAACUCUUCAAACAAUAGGCACUAUUUGGGGUAUCUCAUUUGACGUGGGUAGAACAUCAUGAGUGGCCUUCAAAGUACUCAGAUAGUACUGAUAGUUGCUAGAGUUCAGGUUCUUCAUAAUUCUGCACCCAUAAAUCAGAGACCAGUUUUGAACUCUUCAACUCUGGGUAGUUGAGAAAGACUUAAUUGCAAGGAGGGAGGGAAGAAAAGGUGGUGUUAUCUUGCACAAAGGAUUAGGAUUUCAGAUAGCAACAGCAUCAGUUAGAACUUGUGACUGUAUGGGGUAGGAGAUAAGAAUUUCUGAACAUCUGUUCCAGGG